UCCGGCAAACGCUGCCCAGGAAUGGCAGGAGGGACAGUGGCCGCUGCGACCGGGCUGCUGAGGCGGCCUGGAGCCCGAAAGCAGCCGGCUGCAGGACCGGGAUUCCCGGACAGGCCCGGGGUGGGGAGCUGCGGCGGAUGCUGAAGCCCAAGCAGAGCCCCGCCAGGCUGCGGGAGACUCUGGGGCAGGCAGACGAUGCUGGAGUUGCCGGCUCCCUUUGCCGGCGCUAACCCCGCUCCCCAGGGCUGACCAUCCCCUCUGAGCCCCGCCGCUAUCCCUAUGUCGGAGCAGAACAGCACCAGUGAUGGGGAUGCGGAUCCCCAUCACAGCAUGUCUAUGCUCUUGCUACUUGUGCUGGUCUUCUUCACCAUGGGACUUGUGGGGUUCCUGAUCUGCCAUGUCCUGAAGAAAAAAGGCUAUCGCUGCCGGACCUUUCGUGAUGAGCUAGACCUGGAGCACAAGGAGGUGCUGACGGAGCUGCAGGCCAACGAAGAGGAGGAGCUGAAUGAGGACACAGUGGAGAAGAUAGUGAGAUGUAUCAUUCAGAAUGAAGCAAAUGUGGAGGCCCUGAAGGAGAUGCUGGGGGAUGGUGAAGGGGAUGUGCCAGUGCCCAUGCUCAGCCUUUGUCCACAUCGUAACAGCCAGGAUGGGGGCCUGCCACAUCACCACACGGUGCACCUGGGCUCCACGCAGGCACCAUGCAUUCACUGCAGCAAGAGGAAGAGGCCCCCACUGCACCGCCAAGGCAGAUCCAAGGAUGGCAAAGGCAAGAUGCACCCUAGAGAGACCACGGUCUUCUCCGUGGGCAGGUUUCAUGUGACCCACAUUGAGAAGAAGCCCAUUUUCCCAGAGCAGCAGGAUGUGUCGCUUCCUGAUGGCAGCAAGGAAGCUGGAGACAAAGACCCAGCAGCCCACAGCAACGAACAGGUCCAUCAGGAAGAUCUGCAAAAUGGAACCAUCCAGAUAGAGGGUUGUCCAAAUGGAACAGGCCAAGGGGAGGAUUCUCCCAAUGCACCAGUCAAGGCAAAUGCUCUCACCAAUGGGCCAGUGGGGAAGAGGUUUGGUAAGACAGGCUCGCUGCAGGACUUUGAUCUCCAAGACCUUGCCCCAAGGAAUGGACAUGACCAAAACAAGGGGGAGGGGCUUCAGGGCCCAGGAAUGCAGAGUGCUGGAGCCCCUGCAGACUUGCAGGAGGAGGUGAAAUGGGCUGAGCCACGCAAUGCCCUGCAGGAGGAGGCUGUGCCAGGGGCAGCUAAUGAAACAGCAGAAGUUAAAAGGAGCCAAGGUGUGCAAGAAGGAAUUCGAGCUGCCAUGGUGGGAAACAAGGAUGCCAACAGGAAAGAAUCCAGAGUGGAAGACAUAGGGCAACAGGAGCAGAACUUUGCAGCGCAGGACCCAGGAGUGACUGUGUGACGCACUCUGUGCUCACAGAUUCCUAACUCUGCUGUGCAUGGCAUGCCAUGCCCUUAGGCCUUUUCCCCCAACCCUGCCCAUGGGCGCCUGUGGAACCAGCAGAGGUACUGGUGUUUGCGGCACUGAGAAAGCUUUCUCUGCUUCCACGCAGACACAACCACCCCAAGGCGGGCUCAGCGCGAGGAGCCAGCAGGGCCCUAGUGGGGACAGUAGAGGCGAGCCCUGGCCUAGAAGAGCUAAACUGCGCUUGGCAUGGCCAGAGUGACGCAUGGAUGCGUGGCUUCAUUAAACAAAUGACUCUACUUGGUAACCGACUCAUACCCAUCAGCUCCCAGCCCCCAUCAGCUCUCCCUCAGAGUACAGGCUGCCCCGUGCGCUGGGACACCCCACAUUUGGCCCUCUGGGGAACCCUUUCACUUCCCCAGCCAGACUGGCACUGGUAGGAAACCACCAGGCCCAUGGGCCUGGCAUUGGUGCACUGGGCAGGCCCAGCUCCACAACGUGCACCCUGCUGCUAUACAGAUCUUCCCAGCUCCACCAGCUGACUGGGCAGGACUCCCGCUCUGUGAGCCUGCCUGGCUGGGGCACUUAGAGUGGCUCAGCCCUGCGCUUCACCCUGGGGCUUGAGGGACAAUCAGAGCCAUAGACACUGGGCUCCAGUCCCAGCUCCACAUCGCAGCUGUGGUGCUUCAGCGAUGCCCUCCCAAGGGGUGACCCGGGGCCCAGUGCUUCUGUCAUUUGUGGUGCUGAGUUCUGAGCUCACCCCCUGGAGGACCGCUCUGCCCUCUCCUAGCUUCUGCCAUUCCAAGCAUAACCCUUCUUGUCUCCAGCAGCUCAGGGCCGGGUGCCCCCCUAGAAAUCGCCAUUCUAGUGAGUGCAAAGGGGCCAGAGCUGGGACAGCGCAGCCUAUGCCAAGCACAGGGCAAGGAUUCACACACUGACCAGCACCGGCUGCUGUGAGCAGCCCCAACAAGCCAAGCCCAGCGUGGCAGCAGCAGUAUGUCUGCACCAGCCGCUGCAUGGAGAGCUAAGUGUCAUGCAGAGCACGGCAUAUGGUGCAGCUCAGGCAGGGUCUGUCUGUGUGUGGCCCCACCAGAGCAAGCUGAGACAGUCAUCACCACCUCCAGCAGCGGGCACUGCCCAGCCCACUACCAGCCAAGGACUGGCAGAGCUGGUACUGCAGUCUCUCUGCGAGGACAGAGCCACAAACAGCACCAUCUCCUGUUCUGCGCAGCUCCUUGCACAGCUGCUGCCCAAUGAACAGAUGGGAGCUGCCUGGGCCAGCUCUGCUCUGUGAUCCCAUGGCAGGGGACAUGGGCCAUGGCCUGGGGCAGACCAUGUGGAAGUGGCUUUCACCCAGCCCUGUAGCAGAGGGGCAGGAGACUAGCUAGAAAGAAGGGCCAGAGCAGGAUGGAAGCAGCUUCCCUGUAGCUACAUUGGUGUGUAUUGUAGCCUAGUGUGUUAGUGGUGACCAGAGCAGCACGUGGCCCAGCUGCUGGGGGCUGGCUUUGGUGUUUAACCCCACUGCAAAUAGACAAGCUGAAACCAUUAAAGCUGCUGAGCACA